GUGGGGAAUAUUGCGCAAUGGGCGAAAGCCUGACGCAGCGACGCCGCGUGAGGGAUGAAGGUUUUCGGAUCGUAAACCUCUGUCAGAAGGGAAGAAACUACGUUGUGCUAAUCAGCAGCGUACUGACGGUACCUUCAAAGGAAGCACCGGCUAACUCCGUGCCAGCAGCCGCGGUAAUACGGAGGGUGCAAGCGUUAAUCGGAAUUACUGGGCGUAAAGCGCACGUAGGCUGUAGUGUAAGUCAUGGGUGAAAUCCCACGGCUCAACCGUGGAACUGCCUUUGAUACUGCACAACUUGAAUCCGGGAGAGGGUGGCGGAAGUCCAGGUGUAGGAGUGAAAUCCGUAGAUAUCCGGAGGAACACCGGUGGCGAAGGCGGCCACCUGGACAGGUACUGACGCUGAGGCGCGAAAGCGUGGGGAGCAAACAGGAUUAGAUACCCCGGUAGUCC
rnacentral:rRNA from 1 species